UACGUAGGGUGCGAGCGUUAAUCGGAAUUACUGGGCGUAAAGCGUGCGCAGGCGGCGCGUUAAGACAGGUGUGAAAGCCCCGAGCUUAACUUGGGAAUUGCGCUUGUGACUGGCGUGCUGGAGUGUGGCAGAGGGAGGUGGAAUUCCACGUGUAGCAGUGAAAUGCGUAGAGAUGUGGAGGAACACCGAUGGCGAAGGCAGCCUCCUGGGCCAGCACUGACGCUGAGGCACGAAAGCGUGGGGAGCAAACAGG
rnacentral:rRNA from 1 species